rnacentral:rRNA from 1 species
CCUACGGGAGGCAGCAGUGGGGAAUAUUGGGCAAUGGGCGCAAGCCUGACCCAGCAACGCCGCGUGAAGGAAGAAGGCUUUCGGGUUGUAAACUUCUUUUGUCAGGGACGAAGCAAGUGACGGUACCUGACGAAUAAGCCACGGCUAACUACGUGCCAGCAGCCGCGGUAAUACGUAGGUGGCAAGCGUUAUCCGGAUUUACUGGGUGUAAAGGGCGUGUAGGCGGGGAAGCAAGUCAGAUGUGAAAACCACGGGCUCAAACUGUGGCCUGCAUUUGAAACUGUUUUUCUUGAGUACUGGAGAGGCAGACGGAAUGCCUAGUGUAGCGGUGAAAUGCGUAGAUAUUAGGAGGAACACCAGUGGCGAAGGCGGUAUGCUGGACAGCAACUGACGCUGAGGCGCGAAAGCGUGGGGAGCAAACAGGAUUAGAUACCCCAGUAGUC